UAUAAAUAAAAAAUAUUUUUAUGGCUGUACAACGUGUUUGUGUUUUAAGCUUUAUUACAAGAGUCCAAAAGUUUAAAGAUUUUUUUAAUGCUUAUAAAGUAAAAAGUUACAGUAAACGAAGGUUAGUUAAUGAUUAAAGAAAAAAUAUUUUGCUAUAAACUUGGUGUUGCCUAAACAUACAGUGUUUAUAAAGUUUACAGUAGUAUAUAGUAAUGCCAUCAGCCUUCACAUUCACUCACCACUCACUCACUGCCUCACCCAGAGCAACUUUAGGUUCUGUGAUCUCCACUCACGGUGUGCCUCUGCCAAUCAACUAAAGGCCUUAAGAACAAAAACUGGGAUUCCCCAGGGAAGAAGAAAUUCUGCCUCAAAAUUUAACAUAGAAAUCCUGCCUGCAUUCCAGUCUGCUGGCCUGCCCUACAGAUUUCGGACUUCUUAUCCCCAGCAGUCAUCAGAAAAUCAAUACCACACACUGGAGGGGAAGAUGGAGAGUUAAAACGUCCUCUUCACACGGCUCUUCAACACCCCUGUAGAAGGGAGCCCUAAUUACUUGUGACACUCCAGAGGAGCUGUGAGAAGCACAGAAGCAAGCUGGUGCAUGAUGAUGAGGAACUGGGACACGGUGGCCUGAGUGAGUCAGAAGUCAAGAGAAGCUGCUGCGGCCCUUCGUCACAAAAACUCCCCAGCUCUGCUCACAGGGAGCCAGUUCCUUUUACCUACUGAUUUUUUCCUUGUUAAUUACAUCACAAUGUACAAUAAUUUCUGAACUAUUAAUCUUCCUGAUAUCGAACUAUGUAUGUGCUUUUUGGGUUAUAGUACAUAAAGGGAAAUGUCUUUUGUACGGGCUUAUACAAUAGACAUGUUUUAGGAAACAUGAGUGAGUUGCAUUUUAUAAAUCAAAUGAAAGCACUUGGAAGCGUCAUGAUUUGAAGACAUUUUACUGUAUACCUGCUUAUAAAAUACAUAAUGUUUCUGAUAAAUAUGGUUUUACUCAUGCGUUUUUUCAAGUAGGAAUGUGUUUUCUGAUUUAGAAAAUGGGCAUAGUAGUAUAUUUCCAAAUAGAAAAUUGUUAUAAUUUUCUUGAUAGAUCCGCCCAGUCUAUUGCAGUGCCUCACUAAGGCCAGAUUUUGCAUAAUCUACAGUUAAAUUCUGGAAUACCCUCAGGCAUAACUUCUGUAUCCCACACAAGACCUUAGAAAAAUCUAUUUGUGAAAAGGCAGCAAGCCUGCGUCAGAUUAGAGCAAACAUUACACAGCCAUCCUAGCAAGACUGUCGCUUCUUGUCCAGAACUGCACCAUUUCUUAAGGCAAAAUAUCAAUAUGAGGUGAUAUUGAUACCUGAGAUACCUGAUAGUCUUUUUAUCCUGAUCACUUGGUCACUUAGCAACCUUUCUCUCUCUCCCCCCUCCACCCCCCGUCCUUUCUCUCUCUCAUAUAUAUAUAUAUAUAUAUUUCACUUUAAUAAUGAGUUUCUACAUUUAGGGCUUCCUAUAAAAUGAAACAAGUUUACUUUUGAAAUGGAAAUUUUUUCUUACUGAAAAUAUAUAUUUAGGUACAGUCUGGAUGACAACUAAUUAGGUAUGUUGGAAGCACCUUAGAGAUUGAAGUUUGUACUAAUGUGCCUGUAAGAGGAUUAUUGUGUGUGUGUGUGUGCGUGCACACACACACACACACACACAGUGUUUUAAUUAGCUACAAUACUCUUAACAAAAAAUUUCCAUUUG
ensembl:lncRNA